AUGGCGGAGGAAUCGUGGAGCAACUCCCCUCCGUCUGCCAAGAGAAUGGCGGAGGCAUCAUGGAGCAACUCCCCUCCGCCUGCCAAGCAUCACCAAGGUGAGGCGUCUGGCAAGGAGCCGCUGGUGGUCGACGACGACGUUCCGGUCCCCGGGCAGAAGCAGGACUACACCAUGCCGCUCAUGGUUGAUAUCCACCUGAAGAAGGAGAAGCUGGAUGUCGUAUGCACCAGCAAUCCAGACGAAGCCGGCAAGAGGAUCCGCGAGAUCAGGAGGAGGCUCGGCGGGAUGUUUUCUCGGUCGAUCGCCGUUGAUGUCGAGUAUACGAGGGAAGAUGAACCUCCGCAAAAGGCUGCAGUUCUACAGUUAUGCGUGGAGGAUCUCGUCCUGGAGAAGAAGCUGUACACCUUUGUUGGCUUCUCCAUUAGAGGUGACAAGGAGAAGCUAAAAUUGUCUGGUUUGGAGAUCAACCCCGACAAGUACGUCGACAUGCAGCAAAGAAUUUUCCACAAAAGUGGAUUGGUGGCACAAAAUUGCUACAGUCAGUCGAUCUACCUAGCAUUAUCAGCAUGGAUACCAUUGAGACGUCAACAGAAACUGGGGUACCUGCGCUGUCCUGCGGUGGUUGAGGAGAUGGAUCCGGCCGAUCCCGUUGGGGGGCGCGGGGGCGGCGGGGGUGGAGUCGCCGACGGCGUGCAGGGGCGGCGGACAGAGGGGGACGAGUGGGGGAUCUGGCGAUGGAGGGAGGGAGGCCACAGCGCGAGGGGAAUAGGUGGAGUGGGGGGAGAGUUCUAA
rnacentral:rRNA from 1 species